CUAGUAGUGGUAGUGGUAUCAGUGGUACAUUCCCACUAGGCCAUCUCUCGGUGUUACGUUAACGGUGCUGCUUCCUUUGCUACUCAGAGCAGCAGAGGGUUCGUCCUCCGGCUAACAGCUAACACCAUGGCGUCAACUGAGAUAGCAAGGCAAGCGGGUGAAGGAGCACGUGCCGUCCCUCUGGCGGGCCACGUUGGCUUUGACAGCAUGCCUGACCAGCUGGUCAACAAGUCUGUCAACCACGGAUUCUGCUUCAACAUCCUCUGUGUUGGUGAGACGGGUCUUGGCAAGUCCACUCUAAUGGACACACUGUUCAACACCAAGUUUGAGGGUGAGCCCACUCAGCACAACCAGCCAGGAGUCACGCUCAAGUCCAACACCUAUGAACUCCAGGAGAGCAACGUCCGCCUCAAACUCACUGUUGUCAACACCGUGGGCUUUGGAGACCAGAUCAAUAAAGAAGACAGUUACAAGUCGAUUGUGGAGUUUAUUGACGCCCAGUUUGAAGCAUAUCUACAGGAAGAGCUGAAGAUUAAGCGCACGCUACACAGCUACCACGACACCCGCAUCCACGCUUGCCUGUACUUCAUCGCUCCAACGGGACACUCGCUCAAAUCCCUGGACUUGGUCACCAUGAAAAAACUUGAUAGCAAGGUCAAUAUUAUCCCAAUCAUUGCCAAGUCGGACGCCAUCUCCAAGAGCGAGCUGGCCAAGUUCAAAAUCAAAAUCACCAGUGAACUGGUCAGCAACGGCGUGCAGAUUUACCAGUUUCCUACUGAUGAUGAAUCUGUGGCAGAGAUCAACUCCACCAUGAAUAGCCAUUUGCCAUUUGCUGUGGUGGGGAGUACAGAGGAAGUGAAGAUUGGGAACAAGAUGGUGAAGGCCCGGCAGUACCCCUGGGGGACAGUGCAGGUGGAAAAUGAGAAUCACUGUGACUUUGUCAAACUGCGAGAAAUGCUGAUCAGAGUGAACAUGGAGGACCUGCGAGAACAGACACACACACGUCAUUAUGAGCUCUACCGCCGCUGCAAGCUGGAGGAGAUGGGCUUUAAGGACACAGACCCUGACAGCAAGCCCUUCAGUCUGCAGGAGACAUAUGAAGCUAAGAGGAACGAGUUCAUGGGUGAGCUGCAGAAGAAGGAGGAAGAAAUGAGGCAAAUGUUUGUCCAGAGAGUUAAAGAGAAGGAGGCUGAGCUCAAAGAAGCGGAAAAAGAGCUGCAUGAGAAGUUUGACCGUUUGAAGAAGCUCCACCAGGAUGAGAAAAAGAAACUGGAGGAAAAGAAGAAAUCCUUGGAUGACGAGCUCAACACUUUCAAACAAAAAAAGACUGCUGCAGAGCUCUUGCAGAACCAAGCCCAACAGGCAGGGGGCUCCACCACACUUAAGAGGGACAAAGAGAGGAAAAACUGAUGCGACUCCGUGCCUGUUUAGAAAAGGAAGACGACACUUGCACUGAGAAGCUAAGGAUUCCUGUAGAAAAGUGCUCCCUUGUGGCCAUCCUGCUGUGAAUGAGUUCCCACCCCCAUCAUCCUUUACAGUACCCUUCCUCUUCCUCACCCAAAACCCCAUAAUUCAAUCCUCCACAUGCCCCCUCCCCCUCUCCUCCCUCUGUGGAAGACGCUGGGCAUUGCUAUCAGUUUGACAUCACUUUUAUUUGCUGAAUGAUGCUUGUCUGUUUUGUGGGUCGUACAAGCGAUUAUUCAGCUUUGUCUUUUUAUGCAAAUUUACAAGAUGCAUUCCAUAUUUGUUUUAUAUUCAGUGGUUCUUUGCAUGUUGUGAGCUUUUUUAAAAUAUUAACAUACAUGACUACUGCUGUGAUGGGCAGAAAUGUAUUAAGGCUAAAGAGAAACAGACAUCCAACAGGGGGACCCCAGUGUGCAUGUAGGGUGUUUGAUCUGCAGUAGAUUACAGAGAAGAAAGGAUUCAAAGCUUUCAAAAUGAAUGUCCGAUUAAAAGGCCGCAGUCAAAGUAGUGCCUUUACAAUCUCCAUCUAAGAGCAGAUUCUAAAAUAGAUAAUCAUUAACAAAAGUUCCAGUUGAAGAAUAACCUAGACUGACUUAGUAGUCAGUCAUUGAAUUGGUGUUUGGUGAGUUUGUUGUUAGUUUAACGGUUCAGUCCUUAAGUUUUUAAUUCUGGCUGGCUUUGCAACACGUGGCUACAGUUUUACCAGCGAGUGUGUUUUUAUAUUACAGGAAACAUUGACUGAGCAGCUACUUUAGUUUUAGCAUUGUGUGUCUGUUUAUUUAGCAGCCGAACAAACUUUUUCAUUUCAUUUUUUUAAGUCAGAAAUGUUUUCCAUCUGAUUUAUAUCUUGUACAGAUGGUUAGAAGUUAAAAUGCUGAUUUGUCAGAUUAUUUUUGAUCUACAUUCACUAUUUAUGCUAAUUAUUGACCUGAAGAACAGUUUCCUUCACAAUAAAAGCUAACCUGUGAUUUUUCUAAUUGCAUGCUUUUAAUGUGAAACAGCAACAAUUCAAAAGAUUGUUAAUACAUUAACUGAAUUACAAGUCAAUUACAGAAUAAAAAUACAUUAGAUGCUCAAAAUCAAUGCAUUCAAACAAAAAUAGGUUUUGCUUGUAUGAAAUCUUAAAGAUCAUAACUUCAAAAGUGGUUUUUGUUAUUGCCUCAGCCGAGUAGACUUUAGACUUGGAAAAAUAACUAAGCUGCAGAUUUAAUUUACUUCCCCUUGCUGAUGUUGUUUCACUUUAUCCUGAUGCAUGAGUAGAUGUGAGCCUAAUCUCUUUGCCACUUCUCUCAUACCUCAUUCAUUGUCAUGUGUUAUGUGCAUACUUGUAUUAGCUUUCACAUUUGCACUUUGUUUUAUACCCAAAUGUGAUGUUUUAUAUAUUAAUGUUGUCAGUGCAAUUGUAACUUUCUUUUUAUUUUACUUACUAUGAAGGCACAUUUAAAAGUCAGUCACCAUGAUGUCCAAUGUCCUGCAGGGACCAGUGUUGUUUGUAUCAGUGUUUCACAUAAAAGAAAAAUUCUCAAAGGAAAAUAAAGGCCAAUUUUUCACCAAAUAUUAAA